GGGUAUAGCUCAGUGGUAGAGUGCAUGCUUAGCAGGCACAAGGUCCUGGGUUCAACCCCCAGUACUUCCA
rnacentral:tRNA from 1 species